CUAUCCCCAACCUCGCUCGCAUCCCCCCACAUCCCGCACAAACCCACGCCUCCCACCCUGGAUAAUCCAUGGUGAUCCCCUCCACCUUCUUCCACUGCUGCCGCCGCCGGCAGCCGAACCUCUGGGGAUCCCCUCUACUUCCUUCUGACCCGGCGCGCCACUGCCUUGCCCAGUCCCAAUACACCGCUCUCCGCCGCCACUGGAACCUACUGCCGGCCACCUUCAGAUCCGGCGAUCCCCGGCGACACGACCCGCCCACCACCUUCUCCCGUAUGCGGAUCCGUUGGAUCUCGGGCUCCACUCCCUUCCCCCAACCUCUGCACGGCGCGGGUGGCCGGUGGUGGGGAGGGCCAGCCACCGUGCCCUAAAAGGAGCUCACCACUGAGGCAGCGCGAUUCAUCCUUCGGCCGGGCCGACCGGAUGUGCGUCGCCUUCCUAUCUUCCACUUCUGCAGGUGACCACUGGCCACCCCUCGCCCGCUGGAUCCGGCCAUCAUCUCCAUGGGGGGUGGGUGUGCAGGCGACUAGCGGAUUCGCCGGAGAACACCACGACGAGCAGAAAAGAGGGCCUCCACCCCCAGCCCCAUGCAAUUCGCCUGAUGCGCCCAUGCAGUGCGGAUAGCCUUCUGCUUCCUCCUCCCCAUGUCCGGGCACCCCCGCUACCCUCGCAGGGUAGUAUGAGCGCUGGCCGCCACGCUCCCCUGUCCUCCGACCUCUCUCUGCCAACGUCCCUUUGCUCAACUCCCGGCGAGGUCCCAGGUGCCCGCAGGAUGAAGUACAGACAACGACACCGUGCAGUUCUUUACAUCUCCCCUUGUAAUUUUGUGAGCUGCAGUAAGGAAUCGAUGUUCGGCUCGAUCCCCUGAUUUUGGAUAUGUGCGGACGUGCAGUACAGUUCCCAUGAGACGCAGCUUGUUUUCGCCCAAGGUCGAUGAUCAUCAGGGCGAGAAGGAAAAGCGGGAGGAGUCCUAGCCACCCCUCACUACAGAUCGUGGAGCCAUGGUCGAGCAGUCGAGUCUGCCUGUUGUUGCAGUCCGUCCCACGGGCACCUGCAAUAUGCAUCGCCCCCACCUGUGUUAAGCUUGGGCUCCCCUUGGAUCGAGUUGCCACCGGCGAGGUUUCUUCCAGAUGCAGUGCGGCAACGCGGAAGCGUGCGGUUCCAUGGCAAUCUUUAUGCAGUUUGAUUCAAUCUCCUAUAACCUUCCACACCCCCUCGUCCGUCCCUGGAGCAGCGCGGGUUGGGUGGUGCAGUGCACUGGGACUCCGCGUGCAGUGCAUAAGUGCAUAAGACAACAUGCGGUUUUCGAUAAUUUUGCACUCGGUUGGAGGCGCGGGAGCGUGGAUAUGCACUUAUGCACAACCGUGCCCCUCGUUGGGAUUUUUUUGCCUGAGAGGACAAAGACAACGUGCGGUUUUCGAUAAUUUAUGUAUAAAAGUUAUGUGGACUCGUUUGAAAAUUGUUUACAAAAGAAGCUCAUUUCGAGUUGUGUUGCGGCUCA